GUGGGGAAUAUUGGACAAUGGGCGAAAGCCUGAUCCAGCCAUGCCGCGUGUGUGAAGAAGGUCUUCGGAUUGUAAAGCACUUUAAGUUGGGAGGAAGGGUAGUAACCUAAUACGUUGCUACUUUGACGUUACCGACAGAAUAAGCACCGGCUAACUUCGUGCCAGCAGCCGCGGUAAUACGAAGGGUGCAAGCGUUAAUCGGAAUUACUGGGCGUAAAGCGCGCGUAGGUGGUCUUGUAAGUUGGAGGUGAAAUCCCCGGGCUCAACCUGGGAACUGCCUCCAAAACUGCAUGACUAGAGUACGGUAGAGGGUAGUGGAAUUUCCUGUGUAGCGGUGAAAUGCGUAGAUAUAGGAAGGAACACCAGUGGCGAAGGCGACUACCUGGACUGAUACUGACACUGAGGUGCGAAAGCGUGGGGAGCAAACAGGAUUAGAAACCCUUGUAGUCC
rnacentral:rRNA from 1 species